ACUCAAUAUAUAAAAAAUAUAUUGCAGACUGUAUUAAGACAAUGCACUUCGUUAGAUGACUUAAAUCAAAAUAAACAGAAUACUGAAUUCGAAAAAUUGUAUUCUUUAUAUUAUUAUUCCUUUACAACGUUCGGGCUUUUAAAUUUCAAAGUCCUGGCAUAACCGGUGUCCGUAGCUUACAUAUAAACGUGUAUUAACAAACUCGCGACAGUUGGAAUUUGUUCGCUGAACUGUUCACCGACAGACACAUCACGGAGUCUAGUUUUCGAAAUACAACGAUAAACCGCAGGUGUCAAUGACAAAAUCGAAGAGAAAAUACGCGAUCACCGACAAAUUCUUGCCAAGACUCGCCAAAAACCUGUGCACCAGGAAGGGUAGUCGCCGCGCCAAUACUGGGAACCGCCUAGAACACGCGGUACUCACCCACAUCCAACACGUGCCCUAGACGCCAGGUCCCUGAACUCCCCUCACCCCCAUCGUCCAUCCGCCUUCCACCGGUGUCAGCUUAACACGAGUGAAAGAGAUAAAAUUGAAUGCUAGCAGCCAUGGCUCGUGGAGAUGAAUGCAAGACCGCCAACAAGGCCAAUUACGCUUGCAAGUCUUUUGAUGUGGCCGCUCCUAUGAAGAAGCCAGCUUCACCAACUUAUCAGGUGGUCAAGCAGCAGGAACAGAAGAAAGACUACGGUUCCUGGGGGCCAGUUUUCAAGGACAAGAAGACUUUCACUGACAUGCACUUAUGCUGAACAUGACAUCGAGCCGGUGUUCAUCAUCAUUGCUUUAUCAUUAUCAAUCGUGACGUCACUAUAUUAUAAUUUCUUUAUUCCAUGUCAUUGUCAAAUCAAAAAUCGCCUUUUGAAUGUUUCGGUAACACGCUUUGCUUCUUUUUUUUUAGUUUUCGUUAAAAUUCUUAUAAUAAGUUCUGUGUCGCCAGAUGAAUUUUAUUUUGUGUUAAAAGUUUGCGUGUGCUCCAAAUUGUUUUUUUAUAAAUAAAAAAAGUGACGUUUAGAUUAUGUUUCCAGUGGUGUAGGUAUUCUUUUGCAUACUAACCUUAUCGUGUAUUCAUAUUAACAUUAAAAUUCAUCCCCAUC